rnacentral:rRNA from 1 species
UACGUAGGGGGCUAGCGUUGUCCGGAAUCAUUGGGCGUAAAGAGCGUGUAGGCGGCCCGGUAAGUCCGCUGUGAAAGUCGGGGGCUCAACCCUCGAAUGCCGGUGGAUACUGUCGGGCUAGAGUGCGGAAGAGGCGAGUGGAAUUCCUGGUGUAGCGGUGAAAUGUGUAGAGAUCGGGAAGGAACACCGGUGGCGAAGGCGGUUCUCUGGGCCU